rnacentral:rRNA from 1 species
CAGCAGCCACGGUAAUACGAAGGGGGCUAGCGUUGCUCGGAAUGACUGGGCGUAAAGGGCGCGUAGGCGGAUGGCACAGUCAGAUGUGAAAUUCCCGGGCUUAACCUGGGGGCUGCAUUUGAUACGUGUUGUCUAGAGUGAGGAAGAGGGUCGUGGAAUUCCCAGUGCAGAGGUGAAAUUCGUAGAUAUUGGGAAGAACACCGGUGGCGAAGGCGGCGACCUGGUCCUAUACUGACGCUGAGGCGCGAAAGCGUGAGGAGCAAACAGGAUUAGAUACCCCGGUAGUCCCUGUCUCUUAUAC